UAUAUGUUGUCUCAAAAAUUUUACUGCAAAUUUAAGCUGUGGAAAUAAACUUAUACACCCUUUAUCUGAUAUCUCAGUAUUCCUUCACCACAAACCUCUGAAACAGUCACUCUUGUUAUUUUUAUCUUCUUUUCACAGAUGAGAAUACUGAGGCUCAGAUGAUUUAAUUGACUUGACUCUCCUCCUAUCAGUCCUGCUGAUUCUAAGUCCAGCACUCAUCUUCUAUCUUCUAAUCUUUUUUAGUAAAUCAUUUCAGCACUUGACUUUUGAAGAGGAAAAUAUAUUUGAAUCUUAGAAGUAUCCCUCCAUCAUUUUGGACAUUUCAACAUGGACAAAAAAAUGAGACUUCUUCACCCUUGAGAUAAUUAUGAUUACUACUUUCCUCUUCUCCAGCAAUUCAACAAAUAUGAAUUAAAUCUCUUCUAUAUGCAAAGAACUAUGGCGCUUGAUAAUAAGUAUGUG
rnacentral:lncRNA from 1 species